AAGAACUGAUAAAAUGAAAGCUGGAAUGAUAAAGUAACGUUUUGAAACGGCUUCCCUAAUCCUCCGAUAUGCUUUUAAUAAGGCAGAUGAUCAAAAGUAUAAAGCUCGGUGAAGUCAGCUGAAAGGUGCCGUAAAUAAGACACGUUCUUAUACGAAAAAGGUCCAGAGGUGGAUCUCGCAUCCCAUAGGCUGGGGGUCUUAUAA
rfam:Carnobacterium inhibens subsp. gilichinskyi strain WN1359, complete genome.